GACGAACGCUGGCGGCGUGCCUAACACAUGCAAGUCGAGCGGGGUUGAAGCGAGGGGUAACUCGAGUUUCUACCUAGCGGCGGACGGGUGAGUAACGCGUGGGCAACCUGCCUCAAGGACUGGGAUAACAGCUCGAAAGGGCUGCUAAUACCGGAUAAGCCUAUGGCCUCGCAUGGGGCCAUGAGCAAAGGGGAAACCCGCCUUGAGAUGGGCCCGCGUCCCAUCAGCUAGUUGGUGAGGUGAAGGCUCACCAAGGCGACGACGGGUAGCCGGCCUGAGAGGGUGACCGGCCACACUGGGACUGAGACACGGCCCAGACUCCUACGGGGGGCAGCAGUGGGGAAUCUUGCACAAUGGGCGAAAGCCUGAUGCAGCGACGCCGCGUGAGCGAAGAAGGCCUUCGGGUCGUAAAGCUCUGUCUGGAGGGACGAAGGAAGUGGACGGUACCGUCCGGAGGAACGCCGACGGCUAACUACGGUCGCCGACGCAGCCGACGGUAAAUCACGUGGUACU
rnacentral:rRNA from 1 species